GUGUCAGCAGCCGCGGUAAUACAGAGGGUGCAAGCGUUGCUCGGAUUUACUGGGCGUAAAGCGUACGCAGACGGCAAGGUCGGUCGAAUGUGAAAGCCCAGGGCUCAACCCUGGAACUGCAUUCGAAACCUCCUUGCUCGAGUAUGAGAGAGGGAAGCGGAAUUCCUGGUGUAGAGGUGAAAUUCGUAGAUAUCAGGAGGAACAUCGGCGGCGAAGGCGGCUUCCUGGCUCAUUACUGACGUUCAGGUACGAAAGCGUGGGUAGCAAACAGGAUUAGAUACCCUGGUAGUCCACGCUGUAAACGAUGUGUGCUGGGUGUCGGGGGUAUCAACUCCUUCGGUAUCGAAGCUAACGCGAUAAGCACACCGCCUGGGGAGUACGGCCGCAAGGUUGAA
rnacentral:rRNA from 1 species